GUAUUUUAGCAGGUUGUAAAAUAUCAAAUUCACUGUUCUCUGUUGGCUCUGAUUGUUCUCUGUAGUAAAAGUUCUCGGAGUCACCCUCUCCAGGACAAGCUGGCCAACAGAAGGAAAUAGGUGGUGGUGCAUGGUGAGGUGGGCUGGAAAAAAAAAUUCCCUAAAUUUCUCUAAUAGAACCAAUGGUUCUAAGCUCUCCCUGGUGCAGAAAUAUGUUUGUCAGUGAAAAACAUGUAACAUUUCAUAUGGUGUCUCACCAUUUGUAUCAUCAGGUAUGUUGUGAAUGCUCAUCUGUACCAUGGGAAUAAAUAGAUACCACUGUGUGGGGCAAGCAACUAGUAACUUGGUUAAUAAUCAUUUAACCUCAG